CAAGGAUGUGCCCUUGCUUUCUACACCCUUUGUAAUCUAGAAAAAAUCAUUCGUUGGAUCCAUUACCUUCUUCCAUCUAGAAAUCUUUCCCUUUGUAAUAUUUGAAGAAUUGAAAUCAAUUGCAACACUUGAUCUAAGGUCUCCAUGUUGAACCAAAAUCAAAGCGAUAUAGUAGUAAAUAAUGAGGAGAUGAUUAUAGAAAGAAAUCUAAAAGAUUGGAAAAUGGCUUCAGUACCUAUUAAUCAAAUUUAUAAGCAAUCUAUUUUUUCAAAAUUUUCAACUAAGUCAGAUUAUAAAAUAAAAACGUUUGAAAGAACCUUGUCUUUAAAUAAUGAGAACGAGUCAAUACAAUUGUUCAAUGAGGAAUUAAUGCAAGAGCAUAGGCAGGAGUAUUCAUAUAUUCAUACGGGAUUAGUUCAAGUAGCAAUUAAACCACUAAUAAGACAGGGAUUAAAUACAAGUGUGUUAUUAUGUUUAAGAGAUAGUAAUUUCCUUAUUUUUGAUCAGUCUAUAAUAGGAAGGAUUGAAACAUCUUUAUAUGAAGAUCCACUUUAUUUUAAUUGUUUUCCUGAUUUUCCUUUAUCUUUGUCUGAUCGAACGUUAUUGAGUAGAUUAACAUUGGAUGUUAAAAUUAAUAAUAUGGUGAGAGGAUCACAACCUUUAACAAUUAUGUAUAGGAUUUGUUAUAAAUUGAUGAAUAUAUUAGCUCCAAAAUCAGCAAUUAAAAGUACUCCGUUGAUACAAACAAAUGCUAGGAAUUCUAGUAUUCUAAGUCUGUGCUGUGUAUCCAAGAGUUAGGUCUUUUUGGAUAUAUAUUACUGUUAGUUUCUUUAAGACCUUCUCUCCUCUUUCCGUGUGUAUGUGUUAAAAUAUUUAGUAUUCUCAACCAAAAAAAUCGUAAGUAAAUUGAACGGAAUCAAAUUACACUUCCAAAUCAAUUGAUAUCAGAAACACUUGAACCUCCUAAUGUUGGAAGCAGCAACUCAAAUAUCAAAUGUAGAGGAUGAAGACCAAAGUGAUUCUCCUUUACCAGAUUACUUUCAAGAUGCUCAAGACUGGUAUGGGAUAUCACUUCAGUUGAAUUAAUAUAAGAUUUUCAGUAUUUUCUGUAUCAAAAUAAAUUAGAGGAUUUUACUUUUGGUAUUAUUAGACAAAUUACUUCUGGUGGAAUUAGACAGCUCUGGCAGCUCGUAUCAGACAUUUCAUUAUUCAUCUACAAUAUCAUUUUGGUGGUAUCAGGAAUUAUUGAAGCCUUUUCACUAUUCAUCUACGGUAUUGUUCUGGCGGUAUCAGCAAUUAUUGAAGACUUUUCACUAUUUGAGAAUACUGUUAUGCAUUUUACUAUUCAUUGUAUUAUUGUAAUUUAAUUAUUCACUUUUGUAGCCUAUAUAAGACUCCUUUGUUUAGGAUUCGCUUAUUUUCCAAAGUUUCCUUUGUAACCUUCUUUUGUAUCCCAAAUUUUACACUUAAUCUUCCCUGGUAAUAUUUUAAAAUAUUUAAAUAAAUUUUAGAGUUUGAAGUAUUA